rnacentral:rRNA from 1 species
UACGGAGGAUCCAAGCGUUAUCCGGAUUUAUUGGGUUUAAAGGGUGCGUAGGCGGCCUAUUAAGUCAGGGGUGAAAGACGGUAGCUUAACUAUCGCAGUGCCUUUGAUACUGAUGGGCUUGAAUGGACUAGAGGUAGGCGGAAUGUGACAAGUAGCGGUGAAAUGCAUAGAUAUGUCACAGAACACCAAUUGCGAAGGCAGCUUACUAUGGUUUAAUUGACGCUGAGGCACGAAAAGCGUGGGGAGUCAAACAGGA